UGGCUAAACAUGGUUGGACAUCAUGUGGUUAGUGCAAAGGCAUAAGCCAGCUUAACUGCGAGACAGACACGUCGAGCAGGUACGAAAGUAGGUCUUAGUGAUCCGGUGGUUCUGAAUGGAAGGGCCAUCGCUCAACGGAUAAAAGGUACUCCGGGGAUAACAGGCUGAUACCGCCCAAGAGUUCAUAUCGACGGCGGUGUUUGGCACCUCGAUGUCGGCUCAUCACAUCCUGGGGCUGAAGUUGGUCCCAAGGGUAUGGCUGUUCGCCAUUUAAAGUGGUACGCGAGCUGGGUUUAGAACGUCGUGAGACAGUUCGGUCCCUAUCUGCCGUGGGCGUUUGAGAAUUGAGAGGAGCUGCUCCUAGUACGAGAGGACCGGAGUGGACGAACCACUGGUGUUCGGGUUGUCAUGCCAAUGGCAUUGCCCGGUAGCUAAGUUCGGAACUGAUAACCGCUGAAAGCAUCUAAGCGGGAAGCAGGCCUCGAGAUGAGUUCUCACUGGAGCUUUAAGCUCCCUGAAGGGCCGUUGGAGACUACAACGUUGAUAGGCAAGGUGUGUAAGUGCUGUGAGGCAUUGAGCUAACUUGUACUAAUUACCCGUGAGGCUUAACCAUA
rnacentral:rRNA from 1 species